GUGCGCACUCGGACAUGUCAAUGUGGUCGAACCCGGCGCUGGUGGUGACGAUGCAACGUAGGUUGGGGAGUAAGGCGAGGAUCUCGGCGUCGACUCGGGCGAAAUCUGAGAUGAACAUCGCCGUGACGGAGUUGGCGUGGGCAGCGAAGAAGAGGGGGCGGGGGAGAGGGGAUUCAUAGGGUUUGAGGAGUCGGAAUCGAUGUGAGAGUGUGGCCUCGUAGGAUGUGGC
rnacentral:misc_RNA from 1 species